AGUCCACCUGCGCGGCUGAGUGGAGGAUGCUAGGUUGCUGUGCUGUUUCUCCUACUGUCUUGCUGCCGCACCACCCCUCAGAAAAACCGGGUCGUCAGUUUCCUGCGGUUUGCACUCACCAAAUAUACUUAGCAAUUUGCAAUUCACCCGCAGGAUUAUUCCAGCCUCUGUGAUCACACACAGAAGGAUGAGCCUUCCUCGUGAGGGUUGGAGAUGGAGGGAGAAGGGAUGGAGAGUAAGGAUGGGACGGAGGUUGUGGAGCAGCAGACCAACACGCCAGGUGGGUGAGGUUGUGUGAUUAUUCUAGCAUCUUUUCUUGAUCCUAGCUUGCACCCUUUUAGCAUUGGGAGGGAAGGGCAGGGUAGGGGAUAGCGACCAUAAUAUAGAUCUUAAGUAAAAGCAGUUUUCAUUAAUAAAACAAAGACUUCAAUAAUAAUGAUAAUUGGCGAUUCCAGCCUCCUCCAUCAUAUUGGAAAAGACAGUAUUUCAUUAAAAAUACUUGGAAUUUUCCCUUGGAAAAGGCAGUAUUUUAUUAAAAGACGCUGCGAGGAAACUGUUGGUUUUCUGUUCUGGAAGCAGGGCAGAAGAAUUAGUAACACAGUUCUGCCAAAUAGCACAGGAAAGUGGAGCCAAAGCACCUUCGAGGCUCCUGAUGUUCAAACGUUAGGUCUUAGUUCCCUUUCUUAUUUUUCUAAUACAUUAAUUGCUGAAUUGUGAACAGUAGAACACGCGGAAGAUAGAGAAAAGAGAUAAACAUGAUGGGUUUUUUGUUGGUUUGCUUGCUUUUUUUCUCUCUGGAACAUAAACAAUGACAUCUGUUUCUCUUUGGUAUAAUAGAAAGGAAAAUAAUGAUCAUCUCAAUUUUUAUAUGUGGAGGCAUUGCUUUUCUUCUUUGGGGGAUUUUAAGAUUUCCCAGAAAAUUUGGAAUUCCAAGGCACCUUAGAAACAAGACAUGCCUAGAAAAUUUGACUAUGUGUCCACAAGGCUGGAACUGAAUCAAUAAUAAUUGCUUCUUUCAAUCUGAACAUGAAACAACGUGGAUCAAUGGCUGAGAAAACUGCAGAAGUUAUGGAUCUCUGGCCAGGCUCAACUCUCAGAAUGAAAUGGUUAGAUUUCUUCUUUGCAAUAUUAAACUCAUUUAAUAGC
rnacentral:lncRNA from 1 species